GAUGAACGCUAGCGGCAGGCCUAACACAUGCAAGUCGAGGGGGAAGUUACUUUCGGGUAACAGAGACCGGCGUACGGGUGCGUAACGCGUAUACAAUCUGCCUUUCACUGGGGGAUAGCCCGAAGAAAUUUGGAUUAAUACCCCAUAGUAUAGUAAUACGGCAUCGUGAUACUAUUAAAGCUUAGGUGGUGAAAGAUGAGUAUGCGUUCUAUUAGUUAGUUGGAGAGGUAACGGCUCCCCAAGGCGAUGAUAGAUAGGGGUUCUGAGAGGGAUGUCCCCCACACUGGUACUGAGAUACGGACCAGACUCCUACGGGAGGCAGCAGUGAGGAAUAUUGGACAAUGGUCGGAAGACUGAUCCAGCCAUGCCGCGUGCAGGAUGAAGGUCUUAUGGAUUGUAAACUGCUUUUGUAAGGGAAGAAUAAGGGCUACGUGUAGUUUGAUGACGGUACCUUACGAAUAAGCAUCGGCUAACUCCGUGCCAGCAGCCGCGGUAAUACGGAGGAUGCGAGCGUUAUCCGGAAUCAUUGGGUUUAAAGGGUCUGUAGGCGGGCUGGUAAGUCAGAGGUGAAAGCGCUCAGCUCAACUGAGCAACUGCCUUUGAAACUGUUGGUCUUGAAUGGUUGUGAAGUAGUUGGAAUGUGUAGUGUAGCGGUGAAAUGCUUAGAUAUUACACAGAACACCGAUAGCGAAGGCAUAUUACUAACAAUUGAUUGACGCUGAUGGACGAAAGCGUGGGGAGCGAACAGG
rnacentral:rRNA from 1 species